rnacentral:rRNA from 1 species
AGGACGAACGCUGGCGGUGUGCUUAACACAUGCAAGUCGAGCGGAAAGGCCUUUCGGGGUACUCGAGCGGCGAACGGGUGAGUAACACGUGAGUAAUCUGCCCAUCGCUUCAGGAUAGCCAUCGGAAACGGUGAUUAAUACUGGAUAUGACAUUCCUUCGCAGUGUUGGGGUGUGGAAAGUUUUUUCGGCGGUGGAUGUGCUCGCGGCCUAUCAGCUUGUUGGUGGGGUAAUGGCCUACCGAAGGCUUUGGACGGUAGCCGGCCUGAGAGGGUGACCGGCACACUGGGACUGAGACACGGCCCAGACUCCUACGGGAGGCAGCCAGGUCGGGGAAUAGUUGGAGAACGUGGGGUCGGAAGCCUUAGGAUCCCAGGCGAACGCCGCGUGAGGACG